GAUGAACGCUAGCGGCAGGCCUAACACAUGCAAGUCGAGGGGCAGCACAGAAACAGCAAUGUUUUGGUGGCGACCGGCGGACGGGUGCGUAACGCGUAUGCAACCUACCUUUAACAGGGGGAUAACGGAGAGAAAUUUCCACUAAUACCCCAUAACAUCGAUCAAGGCAUCUUGAUUGGUUGAAAACUCCGGUGGUUAAAGAUGGGCAUGCGUUGUAUUAGGUAGUUGGUGAGGUAAUGGCUCACAAGCCUACGAUACAUAGGGGGACUGAGAGGUGACCCCCCCACACGGGAACUGCGACACAGACCAGACUCCUACGGGAGGCAGCAGUGAGGAAUAUUGGUCAAUGGGGGCAACCCUGAACCAGCCAUGCCGCGUGCAGGAAGACGGCUCUAUGAGUUGUAAACUGCUUUUAAACAGGGAUAAAGCACAGUAUGUAUACUGUGUUGAAGGUACUGUAAGAAUAAGGAUCGGCUAACUCCGUGCCAGCCGCCGCCGUAA
rnacentral:rRNA from 1 species